AGAACGAACGCUGGCGGCAUGCCUAACACAUGCAAGUCGAACGCUCACCGGGCUUCGGUUCGGUGGGAGUGGCGCACGGGUGAGUAGCGCGUGGGAACCUGCCCUGUUGUGGGGGAUAACCGAGGGAAACUUCGGCUAAUACCGCAUGCGCCCGGGGAAACCCGGGAAGAUUUAUCGCAGCAGGAGGGGCCCGCGUCGGAUUAGGUAGUUGGUAGGGUAACGGCCUACCAAGCCUUUGAUCCGUAGCUGGUCUGAGAGGAUGAUCAGCCACACUGGGACUGAGACACGGCCCAGACUCCUACGGGAGGCAGCAGUGGGGAAUAUUGGACAAUGGGACGCAAGCCUGAUCCAGCAAUGCCGCGUGAGUGAUGAAGGCCUUAGGGUUGUAAAGCUCUUUCGCCCGCGACGAUGAUGACGGUAGCGGGAGAAGAAGCCCCGGCUAACUUCGUGCCAGCAGCCGC
rnacentral:rRNA from 1 species